rnacentral:rRNA from 1 species
AGGCAGCAGGCGCGCAAAUUACCCAUUUCAGACUCUGAGAGGUAGUGACGAGAAAUAACGAUGCCGGGCCCCGACGGGCGCCGACAAUCGAAAUGAGCGCAGCUCAAAACACUGAAGUCGCGCGGCGGGCCCGUUCGCGCGGGUCCGCGCGCGCGUCGUGCGAGUAUCGAUCGGAGGGCAAGUCUGGUGCCAGCAGCCGCGGUAAUUCCAGCUCCGAAAGUGUAUGCUUAAGUUGUUGCGGUUGAAAAGCUCGUAGUUGGAAGUAAGCCUUUCGCCGCCCGGCCGCGCGCCGCCGCCCGCGCGCGCGAGUCCCCUCGCGGGUCCGCGCGUGCGCGGCGGCGAGCGCGCGCGCCGGACGAAUCGAAAGAUGGUCAGUCGAUUCGAGCGGACGGCCGGCGUGGCUCCCGACAAAGAGUUGCACGUCGAGAGUCGUCCGCAGGUUGCCCUGAAGAAAUUGAAGCGAUCAGGGCGGGUCGAUCACACUCACUUGAAGAAGACCCGGAACACUCGUGCACGGUACAACGGAAGACGGCCGCGGCUCCGCCGCCGGCGUCGAGAUUCUUGCGCGUGGCAAUGAUCGAGAGGGACGGACGGGGGCAUUCGUACUGUGCCGGGAGGGGUGAAAUCCGCGGAUCGGCGCAAGACGAACAGAAGCGAAGGCGUCUGCCAAGGACGUUUUCCUUAAUCAAGAGCGAAAGUCGGAGGUUCGAAGACGAUCAGAUACCGUCGUAGUUCCGACCGUAAACGAUGCCGACCGUGUGGUCGCCCUGUAUGGAAUGGCCGAGUAGCGACCGGCGCUCGCGCGUCCCGCGAAAGGUCGGCAAUGUCGGGGUGGCCGCGCCGGGAGGGAAACCGGAGUCUUCGGGUUCCGGGGGAAGUAUGGUUGCAAAGCUGAAACUUAAAGGAAUUGACGGAAGGGCACCACCAGGAGUGGAGCCUGCGGCUUAAUUUGACUCAACGCGGGGAAACUCACCCGGCCCGGACGUUGCGAGGAUUGACAGAUUGAAAGCUCUUUCUCGAUUUGGCGGAUGGUGGUGCAUGGCCGUUCUUAGUUCGUAGAACGAUUCGUCUGGUCGAUUCCGAUAACGAACGAGACUCGAGUUUGCUCAUGUAUAAGCGUCGAUCGUCGACGUCCGGCCCCGGGCCGGGCACGCGCCGACUCGCUCGCGCGUGUCGCGCUCGCCUCGCGCGGGCGCGCGCGCGCGGCGUUCGGAGACGCGGCCCGCCGGGCGCCCGGUACGGGAUCGACGGGCCGUCGCGCGCGGACCGGAGACGGCGAGCGCGCGCGGCACGACUAUUCUCAGAAGGACCGGCGGCGGGAAGCCGCACGAGAUCGAGCGAUAACAGGUCUGUGAUGCCCUUCGAUGUCC